UGGAGAAUCUUGUCCAAUGGGCGAAAGCCUGAGACAGCCACGCCGCGUGCGGGAAGAAGGCCUUCGGGUCGUAAACCGCUUUCAGGAGGGAAGAAGCGAAAGUGACGGUACCUCCAGAAGAAGGACCGGCUAACUACGUGCCAGCAGCCGCGGUAAUACGUAGGGUCCGAGCGUUAUCCGGAAUCAUUGGGCGUAAAGCGCAUGUAGGCGGCCAUGUUAGUCGGAUGUGAAAUCCCAGGGCUCAACCCUGGAACUGCAUCCGAUACUGCAUGGCUUGAGGAAGGUAGAGGAGAGUGGAAUUCCCGGUGUAGCGGUGGAAUGCGCAGAUAUCGGGAGGAACACCAGCGGCGAAGGCGGCUCUCUGGGCCUCUCCUGACGCUGAGAUGCGAAAGCGUGGGUAGCGAACAGGAUUAGAUACCCUGGUAGUCCACGCCGUAAACGAUGGGUGCUAGGUGUGGGGAUCAGUUCACGAUCUCCGUGUCGAAGCUAACGCGUUAAGCACCCCGCCUGGGGACUACGGCCGCAAGGCUA
rnacentral:rRNA from 1 species